rnacentral:rRNA from 1 species
GACGAACGCUGGCGGCGUGCUUAACACAUGCCAGUCGAACGGAAAGGCCCUGCUUUUGUGGGGUGCUCGAGUGGCGAACGGGUGAGUAACACGUGAGUAACCUGCCCUUGACUUUGGGAUAACUUCAGGAAACUGGGGCUAAUACCGGAUAGGAGCUCCUGCUGCAUGGUGGGGGUUGGAAAGUUUCGGCGGUUGGGGCUGGACUCGCGGCUUAUCAGCUUGUUUGUGGGGUAGUGGCUUACCAAGGCUUUGACGGGUAGCCGGCCUGAGAGGGUGACCGGCCACAUUGGGACUGAGAUACGGCCCAGACUCCUACGGGAGGCAGCAGUGGGGAAUAUUGCACAAUGGGCGGAAGCCUGAUGCAGCAACGCCGCGUGCGGGAUGACGGCCUUCGGGUUGUAAACCGCUUUCGCCUGUGACGAGGCGUGAGUGACGGUAAUGGGUAAAGAAGCACCGGCUAACUACGUG